rnacentral:rRNA from 1 species
GACGGGGGCCCGCACAAGCGGAGGAACAUGUGGUUUAAUUCGAUGAUACGCGAGGAACCUUACCCGGGCUCGAACGGCUGGUGAAGAGAUCCAGAGAUGGUGACGUCCUUCGGGACACCAGUCGAGGUGCUGCAUGGUUGUCGUCAGCUCGUGCCGUGAGGUGUCGGCUCAAGUGCCAUAACGAGCGCAACCCUUGCCGUCAGUUACCAUCAAGUAAUGUUGGGGACUCUGGCGGGACUGCCACCGCAAGGUGUGAGGAAGGGGGGGACGACGUCAAAUCAGCACGGCCCUUACGUCCGGGGCGACACACGUGUUACAAUGGCGGCCACAGAGGGGCACUACCUGGCGACAGGAUGGGAAUCUCGAAAAGCCGUCUCAGUCCGGAUCGGAGUCUGCAACCCGACUCCGUGAAGCUGGAUUCGCUAGUAAUCGCGCAUCAGCCAUGGCGCGGUGAAUACGUUCCCGGGCCUUGUACACACCGCCCGUCAAGCCAUGAAAGUCUGGGGCGCCUGAAGUCCGUGACCGAGAGGAGCGGCCUAGGGCGAAACAGGUAAUUGGGGCUAAGUCGUAACAAGGUAGCCGUACCGAAA